UACGUAGGGGGCGAGCGUUGUCCGAAUUCACUGGGCGUAAAGCGCGCGUAGGCGGACUUUUAAGUUGGGGGUGAAAUGCCGGAGCUCAACUCCGGAACUGCCUCCAAAACUGGGAGUCUUGAGGUAUGGAGAGGGAAGUGGAAUUCCUGGUGUAGCGGUGAAAUGCGUAGAUAUCAGGAGGAACACCCGUGGCGAAGGCGGCUUCCUGGCCAUAUCCUGACGCUGAGGUGCGAAAGCUAGGGGAGCGAACGGG
rnacentral:rRNA from 1 species